rnacentral:rRNA from 1 species
UACGUAGGGGGCAAGCGUUGUCCGGAAUUAUUGGGCGUAAAGAGCGUGUAGGCGGUCCGGUAAGUCAGCUGUGAAAGUCAAGGGCUCAACCCUUGAAAGCCGGUUGAUACUGUCGGGCUAGAGUCCGGAAGAGGCGAGUGGAAUUCCCGGUGUAGCGGUGAAAUGCGCAGAUAUCGGGUGGAACACCAAUGGCGAAGGCAGCUCGCUGGGACGGUACUGACGCUGAGACGCGAAAGCGUGGGGAGCAAACAGG